GCGUCAACAUCUUUUGUAACAGUUAAAGAAAAAUAUAUCAGCUAACGGAAAUAUAUUAUGUAAAAAUUAACAAAUCAUAUAUCGAGCCACACCUAUUUGAAACAUCUAUCGAACAAUUUUUAAAUCAUAUGGCACCACCUGUUGGUAACAAUUAUCUCAACGUGUAUAUGCUCACAAGGCUUAACCAAACAUGUUAUAUAGCAAAAGGGUACUCAUAAUUGAAAUGUGAAAUUCAGGUCAUCAUCAACAAAUUUAAGAAGAACCAACUUUUUCUUGAUUAUACAGUCCAUUUAUACGGCCAUGUGUUUUUACCAACAUGUAUGCAUCAACACGUGAAUUGAAGAGAUCUCUCAUGUAUGAGUCAUGGACUCGCUUUGAACCUUCAAUAUCGUGGUCAACAUCGAAAAAACUAACAAAAAUGCUGUUUUGGAUGAACUUGUCGAUGAGAUAAUUUUAUUGGAUCCAUAACGGUGGAAAGAGAAAAAAGAAGAAGAUUGUAUUUCUAAAAAAAAAAUAGUGUAAUAAAAGAUUAGGAAAGAUGAAGAGAGAAAUAAUAUUAUUAUUUGGUAAGAGAUUUUAUGGAGAUACUAAAGGGAGAAGGAAGAAGUAUGGAUAGGGGCUGACAGGGCUGUGGCUGGGGCAAAGACAAGUGCAAGAACAAUAUUGGAAUUUAGAAAUAUCAAUGGUGUUUAGAGUAAUUAACUAAUUAUGGAUUUUUCUAGGUAUAUGAGACUUGAUUUCUUUUUUUUUUUUUUUAAUUUUUAAAGAGAAUUCUAAAUAUACUAUGUCUCUCAUUUUUUAUUGAUUAUAAUUUUCAGCUUUUCAGUUAAAACUAAUUUACUCAAUUAUUUAUUUCAACAAAAAUCUAACACAACUAUUAUUUAACAUAAGUUCAACUUUAUCGUAUAGUAAAUUUACUACUUGUUAUGAAUAAACAAACAAAGACAUCAUAUUUUAUAAAAAAAACACCAUGCAUAUAUAUUUUCUAUAAGUAAUUAAGAAAAAUAUUUUGAAGUAAAAAUCAUGUUAUUUAUUUUUGAUUCUUCUUAACCGAGCUAAAAUUUUUAGAAAUAAUUAUUUUAAUGUUAUUUGAUCUAUAAAUCUAAUUAAAUGCAAAUAAUAGUUGAACUGUGAUAUUAAUUAGUUAAUAUUAAUAUAUAUAAAAUUUAUUUUGGUAAAAUAUAAUAAUAAAUAAAAGUUAAAGACUAAUUUAAUUUAAAACUUUCAUUCCAAAAAAAAUGAGGAUAUAAAACAUAUAUUAAUUUGAAACAAUACUGUUCAGUAUUUUAUUUUGAAGCAAAAAAUUAAAUAAUAUUGAAACAAAACUUAUUUCAGAAUAAAUCAAAAAGCUAAGAAUGAAGGGUUAGACCAUCCACAACGCGAGAUUUUAAUGAAUCCUUAAGUCCAAAUCCUUAACUAUUAGGCAUAUAAUAAUAAUAUUUAACCCAAAUAACAUAAGGAUCAGUCAUUUGCUAAGGAUUAAAAUGUAUUGAUCCUUGUUGACGUGGCACAUCAAUUUUGUCCGUCGAGUGAAGGGUUUCACGUGUUCGUUUCAUUUGAGUCUAGACGAGAAAAAAAGAAGUUAGUCUCGGCGAUAAGGCGAUUAUGAUCUCUCCGGGUAAAGAAGAUUCACGGACAAGGAAGGCCUACAAGAAGAUAUCUCUUUUGCUUGAUCCAAGUUUCUUAGAUCUAUGUUUAAUACACGUUGGAGAGGUAUCGAAGAAAGUAGAUGAAGUAUGUGUAGGGGAGGUGAGAAUACUCCAUCAUAAAUCUCUCAGAACCUUGUAUUUGCUUUUGAUCACAAGAGAGUUCUGAGUUUAUUUCUUAAAGAUCUUUUCUUUUACAAUCUGUUCGUAACACCGAGAUCGAACUUGAGAGAGAGAGAGAGACAGGUUCUCGUUUUUCAUCAUCAUCAGAAGUCUACAGAGUCUCUCCACUAUAUCAGCCUCUUUGCUUUGAUGAAUGGUCCUUGAGAAUGCAAGCUGCUCUGAGAUCGGUCUCGGUAUCAAAGAUUCUUGUUCUUGAACCAUUUCAAUCAAACCUUUGCCAUUCCUCGCCAUUGUUGAUGUAGAUAGUGACCUCGAGAUUGCCUCUGAUUUGGAAUAGACUUUCAGCUGCUCUGUCUCUGUCGCACCCUUCCAUCUGGCUGGCUGGUAAACAAAGUUUGACUACUUCUCAUGUUGAUUGAGGAGCAGUGCAGGGGAUAAUACUUUCAGCUGCUCUGUCUUUGGUUAGUUUAAGACUACAAGUUUGACUCUUUGUUGAUACUUUAUUGUACUAGAAUUAUAUAUUGCUGUGGGUGUUUGGAAUAUUGUAAAGCUGGAGGAGUCUGAUGAAGAUCUUGGCAGACACAUACACAAUGAUGAUAAAGAUGUGUUUAGGAAGAUGAUCAGAGUGUGUGAACCAGAUGCAGACACUCAAAAGGCUUGCGUUUUGUUAGAUGAAAUGAUCGACCAUCAGGUGUGACUUUUGAGAGAGUAAGACAGCUGCUUCUCAAACAAAGGUAGAUGAGAGGUGUGAUCAAGUUUGUUAAUAAGAAGAUGAAUCUUUUGGUCGAGUGAGCCGAGCCUUUGUGUGAUUGAUUGUCAAGUUUGCAGCUGGCUCUAAGCUUCUUAUAAUAUUUCUUUUACAAAACAUGUUUUGGUUCAUGAUCUAUUUCAAUUGUUGUAAACUUGUAACUCAAGGUUGAAACCAACAGAGCGUUACGGUUUAGAUUA